GUUAUUUACUCCUUCACAUAACACAAGAACUAGGGGUCACCCAUUGAAAUUAAUAGGCAGCAGAUUUAAAACAAACAGAGGAAAAUAUUUCUUCAUAGUCAACCUGUGGAACUCUCUGUGAAGGCCAUAACUAUAACAGGAUUCCAAUAAGAACUAACGAAGUUCAUGGAGGAUAGGUCCAUCAAUGGAUUUUAGCUAGGUGGGCAGGGAUGCAACAACAUGUUCUGCGUGCCCCUAGCCUCUGUUUGCUAGAAUCUGGGAGUGGGCGAUAGGGGAUGAACCACAUGUUAGUAUUAGAGCUGAGUGGGUCUAAUAUUUAUUUACUUUUCUUUGUUUUAUAUCAGAAUUAGAUGCAAUGCUCCUGUCACCUAUUGCUAAAUUAUCUGCCAAAAAACCAGAGCUUUCAAGUGUCUAAGUAGCCCCUGGAAUCACGGUUAAAGUUGCGGUUAAAGUUGCCCCCGCCUCCCUCUACCAAAAUCUGAAAUGACUCCCCUGGCUGGGAGGCAAGGACUUUUCCUGAGGGUUGGGAGGGGGUGGGGGUUAACUGCGGGAGCCUGGGGCUAGUAUUUAGCUCCCUCAGUUUGUGUGGUGACGAGCCAACUGGCUGUUGUCACUGCCUCCUUCCCUUCUGAGAUCUAGCAGGAAAAGCAGCCAGAGGAGAGGUAAUCUGACUCCAUGAAGCCAGGCUUGAUGACCUCCAGCAGUCAAAAGGGUUUCUGCUCACAGCUCAGCUGGGUGGAUGCAAUUCAGACUAAGCUGCAGGCAGGUGCAUAAGACCUGGCAGCCCUGCCACCCAAAGGGAAUUACUACCAAACGCAUUGUCCAUUGGUGUCUAUCUCACAUACUUGUACUGCAGCAUUUAGUGGUGUAAAUAAGGGAAGAAAAAGCAGGGAGGAUACUUAUGCUCUUGUUUUUGUUUCAGGGGAUGCUGUGUGCCCACAGGUUUACCAGAGCUGGAUAAUGUGACUCUGUUGGUUGGGCAAGAAUCACCCAGAAACUGGAAGUGCUCAUUAGCUGUUUGAAGCUAUUUAGGUGAUUUCCAUUGUGGGCAUGCAGCCUGGCAGGACACACCCAGAGUCACUCUCUGAGAGUAGAACCAAUGGGAGCUCAAGGGUAGGAGACGGAGUUUGUAAAGAGAGGGAGCCAGACCAACAGGAGGACUCAGCUGUGGAGCAGUGCAAGGACCACCAGGGUUUGCUGUAAGCGUUAGGACUGUGUUCAAGGACUUUGACAGUUUGGAUUUGGACAGCAGGUUCCCUCAGCCCACUGAGGAAGAAAGAGGACUAGAAUUGCUGCAGGCUUAGUUAAUGGCAGGCUAUAGUGGUAGAGACCCAAAAGGAGUGUGGACGAGUCAGUGGAACUAUCACUUAUUUCCCAAUUUUAAGGAGCUGACCCCAUGCCACAGCAACUGAGGAAGAUUGGAAGAGAGGAGUAAACAUCUGAUGCCCUCUCCUCCCCAUUUGGAGCAGGCUUCGAGGAGGUAGGGCAUUAAGAAGGAAUGAAAGACACUUCUUUCUUUUCUCCCUCUGGCUGUCCCUGCUGGCUUGAGCCCUGUACCCCUUUGUGGUGAGGGGAAAUCCUGGGACCAAAGCAGCCUGA